rnacentral:rRNA from 1 species
GACGAACGCUGGCGGCGUGCUUAACGCAUGCCAGUCGAACGGAAAGGCCCUGCUUUUGUGGGGUGCUCGCGUGGCGAACGGGUGAGUAACACGUGAGUAACCUGCCCUUGACUUUGGGAUAACUUCAGGCAACUGGUGCUAAUACCGGAUAGGAGCUCCUGCUGCAUGGUGGUGGUUGGAAAGCUUCGGCGGUUGUGGAUGGACUUGGGGCUUAUCAGCUUGUUGGUGGGGUAGUGGCUUACCCGGGCAUCGGAGGGUAGCCGGCCUGAGAGGGGGAACAGGCACAUUGGGACUGAGAGAGGGAGCAGACGCCAACGGGAGGCAGUAGUGGGGAGUAUUGCACAAUGGGCGGAAGCGUGAUGCAGAGACGCCGCGUGCGGGAUGACGGCCUUCGGGUUGUAAACCGCUUUAGCCUGUGACGAAGCGGGAGUGACGGUAAUGGGUAAAGAAGCACCGGCUAACUACGUG